UGAAUUUUUAUGUUAAAAGUGUGUAUUAUGUAAUUUAGGCAAGGGCACCAUGCUACAAAAAGACACUCACCUUGCCUCUGGACUAAGCCCAUAGGUACCCAUUCGCCUUUUGCCUUGAUAACACUAGGGUAAAAUGAGAUCACCAGAGCAAAGAGGGAGAUGGAUAGAGAAUGAGAGGUGGGUCUAUGAAAGCUUGGUACAUAAAGGGUUUGGCUCAUAGUUACCAAAUUUACCAAUUCCCCUUGGGUUCCGCAAUCUGGGUCAUGCGUUCCAAUUCGUGGAACGUUUACGUCCCAAAUCGCUUGGGUACACGAUCUAGCUCGCCAAAUCAAGCAUAACCAUUUCAAUCACUCAGCACA
rnacentral:misc_RNA from 1 species